rnacentral:rRNA from 1 species
AAUUCGAUUGAGUUUGAUCAUGGCUCAGGACGAACGCUGGCGGCGUGCUUAAUACAUGCAAGUCGAACGAGGUUUAGUCAGUGGCAACACUGACGACUGCCUAGUGGCGAACGGGUGAGUAACACGUGAGGAACCUGCCCUGAAGACCGGGAUAACCCUCCGAAAGGAGAGCUAAUACCGGAUACCCCCACCGAACCGCAUGGCUCGGUGAGGAAAUGGAUUCCGCUUCGGGAGGGUCUCGCGGCCUAUCAGCUUGUUGGCGGGGUAACGGCCCACCAAGGCAUCGACGGGUAGCUGGUCUGAGAGGACGAUCAGCCACACUGGGACUGAGACACGGCCCAGACUCCUACGGGAGGCAGCAGUAGGGAAUCUUGCGCAAUGGGCGAAAGCCUGACGCAGCAACGCCGCGUGGGGGAUGAAGGCUCUCGGGUUGUAAACCCCUUUCAGUGGGGACGAAUCAAGACGGUACCCACAGAAGAAGCUCCGGCUAACUACGUGCCAGCAGCCGCGGUAACACGUAGGGGGCAAGCGUUGUCCGGAUUUAUUGGGCGUAAAGAGCUCGUAGGUGGCUCAGUCAGUCGGGUGUUAAACCCCCAGGCUCAACCUGGGGACGCCACUCGAUACUGCUGUGGCUAGAGUCCGGUAGGGGAGCGUGGAAUUCCUGGUGUAGCGGUGAAAUG